UCAAACUUGGUCAUUUAGAGGAAGUAAAAGUCGUAACAAGGUUUCCGUAGGUGAACCUGCGGAAGGAUCAUUAUUGAAUUAUGUUUCCAAACGGGUUGUAGCUGGCUCUCUGGAGCAUGUGCACGCCUGUUUGGACUUCAUUUUCAUCCACCUGUGCACCUAUUGUAGUCUUUGAUUGGGUGUUGAGGAAGUGGUCAGCCUAUCAGCGUUCGCUGGAUGUAAGGACUUGCAGUGUGAAAACUGCUGUCUUUUACUUGACCACGGAGCCAGUCUCUCAACAAAGUCUAUGUUUCAUUAUACCCUGUCGAAUGAACUUGAAUGUCUUUACGUGGGCUUUUAUGCCUAUGAAAAUUGUAAUACAACUUUCAGCAACGGAUCUCUUGGCUCUCGCAUCGAUGAAGAACGCAGC
rnacentral:misc_RNA from 1 species